AUGGGCGCCAACAGCCACCUCCGCGUCCUGGACGCCGGCGUCGUCAGGCCUUCCGACCUCCACCUCCCGCUCACCUUCUUCGACGUCAAAUGGCUCCGCCCGCCGCCCGUCCAGCGACUCUUCCUCUACCGCCUCCCCCACAACCACGACACCACCCGCCUCAUGUCCGACCUCAAGGCCUCCCUCUCCAAGGCCCUCACCUUCUUCUACCCGCUCGCCGGCCACGUUCGUCUCGCCCCGAACAGCAGCAACCGCUACGAACUCUUCUACCAGCCUGGCGAUGGCGUUGCCUUCACCGUCGCCGAGUACGACGCCGACGUCGAGCAUGACCUUGCCCGCGCCGAGCCCGUCCAGGUGGCCAAGCUCGCGCCCCUCGUGCCGCCGCUGCCCAAGGGCCGUGCGGUGCUCGCUGUGCAGGCCACGGUGCUGCUCGGGGGGAGGGGCCUCGCUCUAGGUGUCACCUUGCACCACUCCGCCUGUGACGGCGCCAGCUCCACCCACUUCCUCCACACAUGGGCCGCCCUCUGCGCCGGCGCUGCUGAAAUGCUGCCGCCACCAGUCAUCGACCGCACGCUCAUCGCUGAUCCCAGGGGGCUGUACGGCAUCUACUCCAAAGGACUGCCGAGCGACGGCAGCGAGAUCGAGUUCGUGAGCAGCAACGACGACCAGCUCCUCGGCACGUUCACACUGCCUCCGGAGCUCCUGCGUGGCAUCAAGGACACGGUCGCCAGUGAGGCUGCCAGGCAGGGCGCGCCGCCUCCGAGAUGCUCGUCGCUGCUCGCCGCCUUCAGUUUCAUGUGGUCCUGCUACUGCCGAGCCAAACAGGAACAAAACCAAACUAAGACAACCUACUUCCUUUUCUCCGUUGAUCACCGGGCACGGUUGAAGCCGCCCGUCCCUGACAGGUACUUGGGCAACUGCCUAGGUCCGGCCAUCGCCGCCGCGCGCCAUGACGAGCUUGCGGCUCCGGGAACGGAGGGCCUCUUUGCGGCGUUCAUGGCGAUCGCUAACGCCCUCCAGGAAGAGGUGGGCGAGGGGUCACAGGACAGGUGGGAUGGGUGUGUUGAGCGGGUGAAGGAGGCGGCGAAGGUUGGUCUGUUCUCCGUCGCCGGUUCGCCGAGGUUCCGCGUGUAUGGCAUCGAUUUCGGGUUUGGGCCGCCGGCGAAGGUUGACGUGGUGUCAGUGGCAAAGACCGGCGCGAUGUCAAUGGCGGAGGCACGUGACGGGCUUGGCGGCAUCGAGGUAGGGAUCUCACUGCCGACGAGCGGCAUGGAGCAUUUUCGACGUUGUUUUGACGAUGCGACGCAUGCCGUCGGCAUGCAAGAACGGGUCUAUAUAGUUGAUGGGGAGAGUCCAUGUUCUAGUCCGGCACUCUUCUCGAACGGAAUUCACCGCCAUCUUCACCAAUAG
rnacentral:rRNA from 1 species